UGGGGGAAUAUUGGGCAAUGGGCGAAAGCCUGACCCAGCGACGCCGCGUGAAGGAAGAAGAUCUUCGGAUUGUAAACUUUAGUCAACAGGGAAGAAGAAAGUGACGGUACCUGUGGAGGAAGCCACGGCUAACUACGUGCCAGCAGCCGCGGUAAUACGGAGGAUGCGAGCGUUAUCCGGAUUUAUUGGGUUUAAAGGGUGCGCAGGCGGCGCGCCAAGUCAGCGGUCAAAAGUUCCGGGCUCAACCCGGUGUCGCCGUUGAAACUGGCGUGCUCGAGUGCGUGCGAGGAAGGCGGAAUGCGUUGUGUAGCGGUGAAAUGCAUAGAUAUGACGCAGAACUCCGAUUGCGAAGGCAGCUUUCCAGCGCGCUACUGACGCUGAGGCACGAAAGCGUGGGGAUCGAACAGGAUUAGAUACCCUGGUAGU
rnacentral:rRNA from 1 species